GGGUCCGGACACACUGAGGAUUGACAGGCAAUAUUAAUUUCGCUCCGGCGAUUUUAUGUUAAAUAUGCUAGUCCUUUCAUGAUUAUGUGAUAGGUGGUGCAUGGCCGUUCUUAGUUCGUGGAGUGAUCUGUCUGCUUAAUUGCGUUUCACUAAGGGCCUAUAAUUUAACGUGUGUUGCGGCACUUUGACCCCUCUUCGCGGAGNGUGCGUCUUAGCUUGUUUAGCUCACACAAUUAGGUCCUGAAAGCAGCGAACGUGACCGCAACCUCUUGUUGCCUUUAUACCAAACACAGUCUGACCUUCUUCUCGAAGGGCUACCGUGAAAAAAGGCUUUUUAAACUAGAGGGACCGCUGUUACUUUCUUAAACCAGAGGAAGGUUGCGGCAAUAACAGGUCUGUGAUGCCCUUAGAUGUUCCGGGCUGCACACGUGCUACAAUGAUUAUUGCAGUGAGCAUCUCAUUUUUUACACACCGCAUUCACGAGUCCAUUUAUUCAUUCCCUCGGGUUUGCUUUAAAUGUGCAUCUCCGUGAGCGGUAAAGCCUGCUUCGAAAGUAAGUGGGU
rnacentral:rRNA from 1 species